rnacentral:rRNA from 1 species
GACGAACGCUGGCGGCAUGCCUAACACAUGCAAGUCUAGGGGUAGCAAUACCACUGGCGCACGGGUGAGUAACACGUAGGUUAUCUGCCCCCAUCACAGACAUAACCCCGGGAAACCGGGGCUAAUAUCUGAUGAGGUCGCGAGAUCAAAGCUUCGGCGGAUGGGGAUGAGCCUGCGGCUGAUUAGCUAGUUGGUGAGGUAAUGGCUCACCAAGGCGACGAUCAGUAGCUGGUCUGAGAGGACGAACAGCCACACUGGAACUGAGACACGGUCCAGACUCCUACGGGAGGCAGCAGUGAGGAAUAUUGGUCAAUGGGAGCAAUCCUGAACCAGCAAUGCCGCGUGUGGGAUGACAGGGCUUCGCCUUGUAAACCACUGUCGGACGGGACGAAAGGAGGCCUCGGGCCUCUGGGACGGUACCGUCAAAGGAAGGGUC